GUUUUACCUAUUUCAUGAUUUCCCUAAUUUUCAGUCUCAAUUUUCAAGUUUCAAGAGUCCCUCAUCGUCUUCUUCCAUCCGUUCUGGCCUAAUCCUGUCAGUUUUCUUCGUCGCAACAUCACCAUUUCUUCCCUCAAAAAGCACAAAGUUUCUUAUGUUGGUAGUAAAUUCUGGGAUGUUACUCCUGUUUGCUGAAAAAGACAAAUGCAGCUACCAUCAUGAGCUUUAGUUCUGGCCGAAGUAGCGAGAUUUAAUAGGAGAGAUUAAAGGUUCUUUAAGGUCUUUGCCCAAUAGAUAACAAAAUUGGUGAUGAGCCCUUGAUUUUUUUUAAUAUUAUUUAGUUGAACAAAUGACUCGGUAAGGGAGUAAAAUGUAACGAGUGAUAUCCUUUACUUGUUGCUAUUUUUUUUUAAGGUUAAUUAAAAUUCUUGUUCUUGAA